UCGACCAAAACGUCACAAAAUGAAUCCCCACUUUAACUUUAUUGAACAGAGGGGUUGUCCUGAACUUGUCCAUAUCCGGCAAUAUUUUCUGAAUUUAUUCCCACAUAAAAUUAUUAUUGGGUAAAGUACCGCUCCGUGAUGAAAAGUCACAGAAUUUAGCACAAACAUUACCACAUUUACGGCGUCCAUGUGAUCGCGUUUAUGUUUAUUCAUGUAUGUCUUCACCUUAUAUUUUUAUAAUGUCACAUUUUGUAACAAUUACAGCUACAUUGUAAUCUAAUGACCAAAGAUGUAGAAUGUAGAUAAUUAGUGUGCCUGCGUGUUAAUGUUUGUAUGUUUUGAUUGAUUUGGUAUCUGUAACAAUACCUUUAUACAGCCAUUGUCACUAAAUAAUACUCGAUUUAUAACUUUGUCUCAUUUUCAUCACGGACAUAUAUAUUCCAUGUUCAUUGAAGAGUACAUUUAUAUAUACAUUUAGUACUAGUGCUUCACAUAUUACAUCAAAAGUUAUAAUUAUCAAUGACUACAAUUUCACAGCUCGGCAUUGAAUUGACUUUUAUUUACUUGAUAUUUAACUUUAAAAGACGGCAAUUAUUGUAUGUUUUUCGUUUUGAAACUACCUGGUAACACAGAAACAUAUUAAACACAAUGAAAGUAAUACCUGUAUACUCUGUACAGUAUAGAAUAACUUGCUUGUUAUCAGCAAUAUGUGAAAUUAACACGAUGUAAUGCAUCCCAUUGCUACGAUUGAGUCGAAAAUAAAAACUAACAACAAC
rnacentral:misc_RNA from 1 species